UUUUACUUUGUCGAUUCGCUCCGUCAAUCCCUCGCAUCUCGUCCAACCCAUCUCGCGAGAGGGAGGCGCUGCCGCGAGGACCUGGGAGACGGCGCCGCCGCCGCCGCCGCCGCGAGUUCCUGGAGGCGAACCCUCUGGGCUUGGUCGUAGUGGCCUCUCCCCCACGGCCCUGCGGACGCCGCCAUGAGGUCCUGAGGCGACAGCGCUGGCGCGAGGUGCUGGAGGCGAUGGCGCUGGCGCGAGGUGCUGGAGGAGAUCCCCCGGCUGCACUUGGUCGUAGUGGCCGCUCAACGGAGCAAGGUGACGACGGUGUUCUCUGAAUUUUAAUCUCUCUCCCGUGUUUUCCGACAACAAUGAUCAGUAGUAGCAGUAGUCCUUUGCACAAUUUUACUUCUCUGUGUGCAGUUUAAAAGCUAGGAAAAAAUUGGGGCCAUGAAUACCCGCAUUGUUCUCAUAUAUCAUCUCCAUGGAUGAAAAAGGGUGUAUAGUGCCAUCAUUGUUCAUCC